UCGAGCGUGAAAGGCUUUCGGGCUGAGUAGAGCGGCGGACGGGUGAGUAACGCGUAGGAAUCUACCUGGUAGUGGGGGACAACUUGGGGAAACUCAAGCUAAUACCGCAUACGCCCUAUGGGGGAAAGCGGGGGACCUUCGGGCCUCGCGCUAUCAGAUGAGCCUGCGUAGGAUUAGCUAGUUGGUGAGGUAAAGGCUCACCAAGGCGACGAUCCUUAGCUGGUCUGAGAGGAUGAUCAGCCACACUGGGACUGAGACGCGGCCCAGACUCCUACGGGAGGCAGCAGUGGGGAAUAUUGCGCAAUGGGGGCAACCCUGACGCAGCCAUGCCGCGUGUGUGAAGAAGGCCUUCGGGUUGUAAAGCACUUUAAGUGGGGAGAAAAGGGUAGCGGUUAAUAGCCGUUACCUGUGAUGUUACCCACAGAAUAAGCACCGGCUAACUCCGUGCCAGCAGCCGCGGUAAUACGGAGGGUGCGAGCGUUAAUCGGAAUUACUGGGCGUAAAGCGCGCGUAGGUGGUUUGUUAAGUCAGCUGUGAAAGCCCCGGGCUCAACCUGGGAACUGCAGUUGAUACUGGCCGACUAGAGUACGAGAGAGGGAGGUAGAAUUCCAUGUGUAGCGGUGAAAUGCGUAGAUAUAUGGAGGAAUACCGGUGGCGAAGGCGGCCUCCUGGCUCGAUACUGACGCUGAGGUGCGAAAGCGUGGGGAUCAAACAGGAUUAGAUACCCUGGUAGUCCACGCCGUAAACGAUGUCUACUAGCCGUUGGGAGACUUGAUUUCUUAGUGGCGCAGCUAACGCAAUAAGUAGACCGCCUGGGGAGUACGGCCGCAAGGUUAAAACUCAAAUGAAUUGACGGGGGCCCGCACAAGCGGUGGAGCAUGUGGUUUAAUUCGAUGCAACGCGAAGAACCUUACCAGGUCUUGACAUCCAGAGAACUUGGCAGAGAUGCCUUGGUGCCUUCGGGAGCUCUGAGACAGGUGCUGCAUGGCUGUCGUCAGCUCGUGUCGUGAGAUGUUGGGUUAAGUCCCGUAACGAGCGCAACCCUUGUCCUUAGUUGCCAGCGAGUAAUGUCGGGAACUCUAAGGAGACUGCCGGUGACAAACCGGAGGAAGGUGGGGACGACGUCAAGUCAUCAUGGCCCUUACGACCUGGGCUACACACGUGCUACAAUGGAACGCACAGAGGGCUGCAAAGGCGCGAGCUGGAGCCAAUCCCACAAAACGUUUCGUAGUCCGGAUCGGAGUCUGCAACUCGACUCCGUGAAGUCGGAAUCGCUAGUAAUCGUGGAUCAGAAUGCCACGGUGAAUACGUUCCCGGGCCUUGUACACACCGCCCGUCACACCAUGGGAGUGGGUUGCUCCAGAAGUGGUUAGCCUAACCUUCGGGGGGGCGAUCACCACGGAGUGAUUCAUGACUGGGGUGAAGUC
rnacentral:rRNA from 1 species